UAACGCGUGAGGAACCUGCCUCAAAGAGGGGGACGACAGUUGGAAACGACUGCUAAUACCGCAUAAGCCCACGGCUCGGCAUCGAGCAGAGGGAAAAGGAGCAAUCCGCUUUGAGAUGGCCUCGCGUCCGAUUAGCUAGUUGGUGAGGUAAUGGCCCACCAAGGCGACGAUCGGUAGCCGGACUGAGAGGUUGAACGGCCACAUUGGGACUGAGACACGGCCCAG
rnacentral:rRNA from 1 species